rnacentral:rRNA from 1 species
GAUGAACGCUGGCGGCGUGCCUACUACAUGCAAGUCGAGCGAAGCGGGGAGGGGGGAGUAAGACGCGGAUCAUCUCCUAUAAGACUGGGCUAAAUUCGGGGAACUGGAGCUAAAACGGAUACUUACAGAUGGAUCCGCGCUGCAUUAGCUAGUUGGUAAGGUAACGGCUUCCCAAGGCAACGGUGCAUAGCCGACCUGAGAGUGUGAUCGGCCACACUGGAACUUAGACACGGUCCAGACUCCUACGGUAGGCAGCAGUAGGGAAUCUUCCGCAAUGGGCGAAAGCCUGACGGAGCAACGCCGCGUGAGUGAUGAAGGUCUUCGGAUCGUAAAACUCUGUUAUUAGGGAAGCGGUACCUAAUCAGAAAGCCACGGCUAACUACGUGCCAGCAGCCGCGGUAAUUC